UAACCAGAGUCCUGAUGGGUGCUGUGUCCAGAUCCAAGGUCUGGGGCUCCAGAGAGAGCAGGAGUGGUGCCUGAGGACUGAGGCCCAGGGGGCGGCCCUUCCCUACCCUGCACAGGCCCGGCUGGGCUGGAAAGCUGUCCCACAGCCGCAGUGAGGACAGCCGCAGGCAAGGAGCCCGGCCUGUUUGAUGUGGUCAUCAUUAACGACAGCCUGGACCAGGCCUACGCAGAGCUGAAGGAGGCGCUCUCUGAGGAAAUCAAGAAAGCUCAAAGGACCGGCGCCUGAGGCUUGCUGUCUGUUCUUGGCACCCCGGGCCCAUACAGGACCAGGGCAGCAGCACUGAGCCACCCCCUUGGCAGGCGAUACGGCAGCUCUGCGCCCUUGGCCAGCAUGUGGAGUGGAGGGGAUGCUGCCCCUGUGGUUGGAACAUCCUGGGGUGACCCCCGACCUAGCCUCGCUGGGCUGUCCCCUGUCCCUAUCUCUCACUCUGGACCCAGGGCUGACAUCCUAAUAAAAUAACUGUUGGAUUAGAAACUCCAUAAA
rnacentral:sRNA from 1 species